rnacentral:rRNA from 1 species
GAUGAACGCUGGCGGCGUGCCUAAUACAUGCAAGUCGAGCGAACAGACGAGGAGCUUGCUCCUCUGACGUUAGCGGCGGACGGGUGAGUAACACGUGGAUAACCUACCUAUAAGACUGGGAUAACUUCGGGAAACCGGAGCUAAUACCGGAUAAUAUAUUGAACCGCAUGGUUCAAUAGUGAAAGACGGUUUUGCUGUCACUUAUAGAUGGAUCCGCGCCGCAUUAGCUAGUUGGUAAGGUAACGGCUUACCAAGGCAACGAUGCGUAGCCGACCUGAGAGGGUGAUCGGCCACACUGGAACUGAGACACGGUCCAGACUCCUACGGGAGGCAGCAGUAGGGAAUCUUCCGCAAUGGGCGAAAGCCUGACGGAGCAACGCCGCGUGAGUGAUGAAGGUCUUCGGAUCGUAAAACUCUGUUAUUGGGGAAGAACAAAUGUGUAAGUAACUAUGCACGCCUUGACGGUACCUAAUCAGAAAGCCACGGCUAACUACGUG